rnacentral:rRNA from 1 species
CUUGUUGGGGUUGUAGGACUCCAAUAUGGUAGUCUGUUAGUAUAGUUGAAGGAUUUGGAAAAUUCCGCUAAAGAGGGUGAAAGCCCCGUAGACGAAAUGCUAAUAACACCUAGGAGGAUCCUGAGUACGGCGGAACACGAGAAAUUCCGUCGGAAUCCGCGGGGACCAUCCCGCAAGGCUAAAUACUCCCUAGUGACCGAUAGUGAACCAGUACCGUGAGGGAAAGGUGAAAAGCACCCCGGAAGGGGAGUGAAAUAGAUCCUGAAACCGUGUGCCUACAACAAGUCAAAGCUCGUUAAUGAGUGAUGUCGUGCCUUUUGUAGAAUGAACCGGCGAGUUACGAUUGCAUGCGAGGUUAAGUCGAAGAGACGGAGCCGCAGCGAAAGCGAGUCUGAAUAGGGCGAAUGAGUAUGUAGUCGUAGACCCGAAACCAUGUGAUCUACCCAUGUCCAGGUUGAAGGUGCGGUAAAACGCACUGGAGGACCGAACCCACGUACGUUGAAAAGUGCGGGGAUGAGGUGUGGGUAGCGGAGAAAUUCCAAUCGAACUUGGAGAUAGCUGGUUCUCUCCGAAAUAGCUUUAGGGCUAGCCUCGGAAUUGAGAAUGAUGGAGGUAGAGCACUGUUUGGACUAGGGGCCCAUCUCGGGUUACCGAAUUCAGAUAAACUCCGAAUGCCAUUCAUUUAUAUCCGGGAGUCAGACUGCGAGUGAUAAGAUCCGUAGUCGAAAGGGAAACAGCCCAGACCACCAGCUAAGGUCCCAAAAUAUAUGUUAAGUGGAAAAGGAUGUGGGGUUGCACAGACAACUAGGAUGUUGGCUUAGAAGCAGCCACCAUUUAAAGAGUGCGUAAUAGCUCACUAGUCGAGUGACCCUGCGCCGAAAAUGUACCGGGGCUAAACAUAUUACCGAAGCUGUGGACUACACCAUUAGGUGUAGUGGUAGGAGAGCGUUCUAAGGGCGUUGAAGGUCGAUCGUGAGGACGGCUGGAGCGCUUAGAAGUGAGAAUGCCGGUAUGAGUAGCGAAAGACAGGUGAGAAUCCUGUCCACCGUAUGACUAAGGUUUCCUGGGGAAGGCUCGUCCGCCCAGGGUUAGUCGGGACCUAAGCCGAGGCCGAUAGGCGUAGGCGAUGGACAACAGGUUGAUAUUCCUGUACCAGUUGUUUUUGUUUGAACAAUGGAGGGACGCAGUAGGCUAAGGAAUGCAUGCGAUUGGAAGUGCAUGUCCAAGCAAUGAGUCUUGAGUAGAGUUAAAUGCUUUACUCUCUAAGGACAAGUUGUGACGGGGAGCGAAAUAAUAGUAGCGAAGUUCCUGAUGUCACACUGCCAAGAAAAGCUUCUAGUGAGAAAACAACUGCCCGUACCGUAAACCGACACAGGUAGUCGAGGAGAGUAUCCUAAGGUGAGCGAGCGAACUCUCGUUAAGGAACUCGGCAAAAUGACCCCGUAACUUCGGGAGAAGGGGUGCUGACUUCGGUCAGCCGCAGUGAAUAGGCCCAAGCGACUGUUUAUCAAAAACACAGGUCUCUGCAAAAUCGUAAGAUGAAGUAUAGGGGCUGACGCCUGCCCGGUGCUGGAAGGUUAAGAGGAUGGGUUAGCUUCGGCGAAGCUCAGAAUUGAAGCCCCAGUAAACGGCGGCCGUAACUAUAACGGUCCUAAGGUAGCGAAAUUCCUUGUCGGGUAAGUUCCGACCCGCACGAAAGGCGUAACGAUUUGGGCACUGUCUCAACGAGAGACUCGGUGAAAUUUUAGUACCUGUGAAGAUGCAGGUUACCCGCGACAGGACGGAAAGACCCCAUGGAGCUUUACUGUAGUUUGAUAUUGAGUGUUUGUACCACAUGUACAGGAUAGGUAGGAGCCGAUGAGACCGGAACGCUAGUUUCGGAGGAGGCGCUGGUGGGAUACUACCCUUGUGUUAUGAACCCUCUAACCCGCACCACUAAUCGUGGUGGGAGACAGUGUCAGAUGGGCAGUUUGACUGGGGCGGUCGCCUCCUAAAAGGUAACGGAGGCGCCCAAAGGUUCCCUCAGAAUGGUUGGAAAUCAUUCGAAGAGUGUAAAGGCAGAAGGGAGCUUGACUGCGAGACCUACAAGUCGAGCAGGGACGAAAGUCGGGCUUAGUGAUCCGGUGGUUCCGCAUGGAAGGGCCAUCGCUCAACGGAUAAAAGCUACCCUGGGGAUAACAGGCUUAUCUCCCCCAAGAGUCCACAUCGACGGGGAGGUUUGGCACCUCGAUGUCGGCUCGUCGCAUCCUGGGGCUGUAGUCGGUCCCAAGGGUUGGGCUGUUCGCCCAUUAAAGCG